rnacentral:lncRNA from 1 species
AAUUUCAGUUUCUGUCCCAAGCUUUAUUAUUUCUGUUACCUUAUUCCCUUCUCCACCAUGGGUCUUCCUGUGUGUCAGGAUUUUUUAUUCUGGCAAUUAACCGUGGAGAAAAUUUGAAGGUACUGACGGUUAAGGUCAAUAUUUCUGAUGGAGUGAAGGAUGAAUUCUGUAGGUGGUGCAUCCAAAACAGGUGGAGACCACGUAGCUUUGCAAGGCCAGAGUUAAUGAAGAUCUUAUAUAAUUCACUGAAUGAUUCCUUUAAACGCCUUAUUUAUCCUCUUCUCUGUAGAGAAUUCAGAGCCAAACUAACAUCAGAUGCAGAGAAGGAAUCAGUAAUGAUGUUUGGACGGAACCUUCGUCAGCUCCUUUUAACAAGCCCUGUUCCAGGGCGCACCUUAAUGGGAGUGGAUCCUGGUUAUAAACAUGGUUGCAAAUUAGCUAUAAUUUCUCCUACUAGUCAGAUACUUCAUACUGAUGUGGUUUACUUGCAUUGUGGACAAGGCUUCCGAGAGGCGGAGAAAAUAAAGACACUUUUGCUGAAUUUCAACUGCAGCACAGUAGUGAUUGGAAAUGGAACUGCCUGCAGGGAAACAGAAGCUUACUUUGCUGACCUGAUAAUGAAGAAUUAUUUUGCACCACUGGAUGUUGUUUACUG